rnacentral:rRNA from 1 species
GUAGCUUGCUACCUGCCGGCGAGUGGCGAACGGGUGAGUAAUACAUCGGAACGUGCCCUGUAGUGGGGGAUAACUAGUCGAAAGACUAGCUAAUACCGCAUACGACCUGAGGGUGAAAGUGGGGGACCGCAAGGCCUCAUGCUAUAGGAGCGGCCGAUGUCUGAUUAGCUAGUUGGUGGGGUAAAGGCCCACCAAGGCGACGAUCAGUAGCUGGUCUGAGAGGACGAUCAGCCACACUGGGACUGAGACACGGCCCAGACUCCUACGGGAGGCAGCAGUGGGA